UACGGAGGGUGCAAGCGUUGCUCGGAAUUACUGGGCGUAAAGCGUGCGCAGGCGGCGCUACAAGUCAGACGUGAAAUACCGAGGCUCAACCUCGGGGGGUCGUUUGAAACUGUAGUGCUUGAGUACGGGAGAGGGGUGUGGAAUUCCCAGUGUAGGAGUGAAAUCCGUAGAUAUUGGGAGGAACACCAGUGGCGAAGGCGACACCCUGGCCCGAGACUGACGCUCAUGCACGAAAGCGUGGGUAGCAAACAGG
rnacentral:rRNA from 1 species